rnacentral:rRNA from 1 species
GACGAACGCUGGCGGCGUGCCUAAUACAUGCAAGUAGAACGCUGAAGGAGGAGCUUGCUUCUCCGGAUGAGUUGCGAACGGGUGAGUAACGCGUAGGUAACCUGCCUGGUAGCGGGGGAUAACUAUUGGAAACGAUAGCUAAUACCGCAUAAGAGUAGAUGUCGCAUGACAUUUGCUUAAAAGGUGCAACUGCACCACUACCAGAUGGACCUGCGUUGUAUUAGCUAGUUGGUGAGGUAACGGCUCACCAAGGCAACGAUACAUAGCCGACCUGAGAGGGUGAUCGGCCACACUGGGACUGAGACACGGCCCAGACUCCUACGGGAGGCAGCAGUAGGGAAUCUUCGGCAAUGGACGGAAGUCUGACCGAGCAAAGCCGCGUGAGUGAAGAAGGUUUUCGGAUCGUAAAGCUCUGUUGUAAGAGAAGAACGAGUGUGAGAGUGGAAAGUUCACACUGUGACGGUAUCUUACCAGAAAGGGACGGCUAACUACGUG